GAUGAACGCUGGCGGCGUGCCUAAUACAUGCAAGUCGAGCGAACAGAUGAGGAGCUUGCUCCUCUGACGUUAGCCGCGGACGGGUGAGUAACACGUGGAUAACCUACCUAUAAGACUGGGAUAACUUCGGGAAACCGGAGCUAAUACCGGAUAAUAUCUUGAACCGCAUGGUUCAAUAGUGAGAGACGGUUUUGCUGGCAGUUAUCGAUGGAUCCGCGCCGCAUUAGCUAGUUGGUAAGGUAACGGCUUACCACGGCAACGAUGCGUAGCCGACCUGCGAGGGUGAUCGGCCACCCUGGAAGGUAGACACGGACCAGACGCCUACGGGAGGCAGCAGUAGGGAAUCUUCCGCAACGGGCGAAAGCAUGACGGAGCAACGCCGCGUGAGUGACGAAGGUCUCCGGAUCGUAAAACUCUGUUAUUAGGGAAGAACAAAUGUGUAAGUAACUAUGCACUUCUUGACGGUACCUAAUCAGAAAGCCACGGCUAACUACGUG
rnacentral:rRNA from 1 species